rnacentral:rRNA from 1 species
UUAACACAUGCAAGUCGAACGAUGAAGCCCAGAUUGCUGGGUGGAUUAGUGGCGAACGGGUGAGUAACACGUGAGUAACCUGCCCUUGACUCUGGGAUAAGCGUUGGAAACGACGUCUAAUACCGGAUACGAGCUUCCACCGCAUGGUGAGUUGCUGGAAAGAAUUUUGGUCAAGGAUGGACUCGCGGCCUAUCAGCUUGUUGGUGAGGUAACGGCUCACCAAGGCGACGACGGGUAGCCGGCCUGAGAGGGUGACCGGCCACACUGGGACUGAGACACGGCCCAGACUCCUACGGGAGGCAGCAGUGGGGAAUAUUGCACAAUGGGCGAAAGCCUGAUGCAGCAACGCCGCGUGAGGGACGACGGCCUUCGGGUUGUAAACCUCUUUUAGCAGGGAAGAAGCGAAAGUGACGGUACCUGCAGAAAAAGCACCGGCUAACUACGUGCCAGCAGCCGCGGUAAUACGUAGGGUGCAAGCGUUGUCCGGAAUUAUUGGGCGUAAAGAGCUCGUAGGCGGUUUGUCGCGUCUGCUGUGAAAUCCCGAGGCUCAACCUCGGGUCUGCAGUGGGUACGGGCAGACUAGAGUGCGGUAGGGGAGAUUGGAAUUCCUGGUGUAGCGGUGGAAUGCGCAGAUAUCAGGAGGAACACCGAUGGCGAAGGCAGAUCUCUGGGCCGCUACUGACGCUGAGGAGCGAAAGGGUGGGGAGCAAACAGGCUUAGAUACCCUGGUAGUCCACCCCGUAAACGUUGGGCGCUAGAUGUGGGGACCAUUCCACGGUUUCCGUGUCGUAGCUAACGCAUUAAGCGCCCCGCCUGGGGAGUACGGCCGCAAGGCUAAAACUCAAAGGAAUUGACGGGGGCCCGCACAAGCGGCGGAGCAUGCGGAUUAAUUCGAUGCAACGCGAAGAACCUUACCAAGGCUUGACAUAUACGAGAACGGGCCAGAAAUGGUCAACUCUUUGGACACUCGUAAACAGGUGGUGCAUGGUUGUCGUCAGCUCGUGUCGUGAGAUGUUGGGUUAAGUCCCGCAACGAGCGCAACCCUCGUUCUAUGUUGCCAGCACGUUAUGGUGGGAACUCAUGGGAUACUGCCGGGGUCAACUCGGAGGAAGGUGGGGACGACGUCAAAUCAUCAUGCCCCUUAUGUCUUGGGCUUCACGCAUGCUACAAUGGCCAGUACAAAGGGCUGCAAUACCGUAAGGUGGAGCGAAUCCCAAAAAGCUGGUCCCAGUUCGGAUUGAGGUCUGCAACUCGACCUCAUGAAGUCGGAGUCGCUAGUAAUCGCAGAUCAGCAACGCUGCGGUGAAUACGUUCCCGGGCCUUGUACACACCGCCCGUCAAGUCAUGAAAGUCGGUAACACCCGAAGCCAGUGGCCUAACCGCAAGGAUGGAGCUGUCUAAGGUGG